GUUGUCUCUUUCAAAGUCCUAAGGAUGGAUUUGUGCUAUGGAAUGCCUUUCAAUAGGAUUGCAGCAUCAGUGUAAAGAUAAUGAAGUAGUUAAGCCAGGAAGAGCCAGACUAAACCUUUCUGUUUCCAAAAUACGAAGACGUACAAUUAUAAAACCCUUUUCUUUCAAACUCAGUGGAACAUAUUUUGAGGGUCUCAACAAAGACUAGUGAUCCGACAUUGAGAGCUGUAAUUGUAAUCAAAACAGAAAGAAACAACAAACAAAGAAGACUUACUCCUGCUGUGUUAUGACUUUACAGCGAUAAAUAUGGC